AUAGCACCUGAGUGUCAAGGAACCUGGAGGGUACUGAGCCACAAAACCAGCAACCUGAACAACAUCUUCUUGAUCUGCCUCUAAUCUCUUGACAAACGUUGGAGGUUGAAAGUAAGAGUGGAGAGAGGUAGCUCCUGCUUCUGCAUCAUGAAGGAAGUUGCACUUGUUCCCGCAGAAACAGGAUAUCAUUGACCACAUCUGACAAGACAACACAGCAAGGAAAUGGAGCACCUUCGGGACUGCAAAGAGAAUCAUUUAUUUUGAAUCUCGACAAUGAACAGAAUGAGUGUAUUCUUUAGAUCCCAGCAGGAAACUGCACAACUCAACAAGGGAAUUGAACAGAGUUUAAUAAGAAGCCUAUUUAUAAAGGUAUGGUCAGGGUUUAGGGAAUCCAACAAAAGAUGGGGCAGAAUCAUGGUGCUGGCUGUGUGUAAACGCAUCGUUGCCAGAAUCCAGAGAAAGCAAACUACUUGAAGAGGGCUGCCUGAGAACACAGCCAAUCUACAGCCACCAUCAAGGACAAAGCUGGGGGCUCCACUUUCUUCCUGCACUCUCAUGUCCUGUAGGUACCUCUGUGUUCCACAUUGUGCACUUUUGAAAGCAGGAUCAGACUUCCGGUGAAGCUGGGUAAAGACCAACUACUGUGAACCUGCACAGGAGCCAAUUCUCACGCACAGCCAAGAAGCCCCCACACAGAAGGCUUCAUUAAAGGCUGCUGCCUCCUGGGUCCAGAAUCAGAUUCAGUACAGACUUGACUUCAAAUUUUAUGAUUUCCUUUAGGAAGUUCCUACCUGAGACAUGCUUCUAACAUGCAGCUGUUUUGUAAAGAAGAGAUCAUUGACAUCCUGAAACUAAAAAUUGAUCCACUCUGGUUUUCAGUUUUGUCCUC